rnacentral:rRNA from 1 species
UGGCGACCGGCGCACGGGUGAGUAACGCGUAUCCAGCCUGCCCUUUACUAUGGGACAGCCCGUCGAAAGGCGGAUUAAUACCGUAUGUUGUCAUGUUGAUGCAUAUUUUCAUGACCAAAGGCUUCGGCCGGUAAAGGAUGGGGAUGCGUCUGGUUAGCUUGCCGGCGGGGUAACGGCCCACCGGGGCGACGAUCAGUAGGGGUUCUGAGAGGAAGGUCCCCCACAUUGGAACUGAGACACGGUCCAAACUCCUACGGAAGGCAGCAG